AAGAAAUCCAGCAAUUUAGCUUGAACCAAAGGAAAAAUUCGAUGCAUGAUGCCCUAAACUCGAGUAGCUAACCUCAGUUUCCGAAGUGGCACAAAGAAGGAAGAAGGCGCAAGUCACUCGAAGGCAUAAGUAUUUCAAGAUCGCUGUAAAACUCCACUCUAGGCGAUUUGGAGAUUUGGAGCGAGCACGGGCCCAUGCUAUGUUAUACCAAAUGCUUCCGCUAGUUUUUU